UUUUAUAUAGUAUAAUUAUUAUUACAUUUUACUUCCAAUAAAAAAAUUUAAUUUAAAUUUUAAUAUAAAAA
rnacentral:tRNA from 1 species